UACGGGGGGAGCAAGCGUUGUUCGGAUUUACUGGGCGUAAAGGGCGCGUAGGCGGCCAGCACAAGUCAGUUGUGAAAUCUCCGAGCUUAACUCGGAAAGGUCAACUGAUACUGUGCGGCUAGAGUGCAGAAGGGGCAACUGGAAUUCUUGGUGUAGCGGUGAAAUGCGUAGAUAUCAAGAGGAACACCUGCGGCGAAGGCGGGUUGCUGGGCUGAUACUGACGCUGAUGCGCGAAAGCCAGGGGAGCGAACGGG
rnacentral:rRNA from 1 species